AACGGAGCAGACUAACAGGAUUCCCCUAGUAACUGCGAGUGAAGCGGGAAAAGCUCAAAUUUAAAAUCUGGCGGUCUUUGGCUGUCCGAGUUGUAAUCUAGAGAAGUGUUAUCCGUGCUGGACCGUGUACAAGUCUCCUGGAAUGGAGCGUCAUAGAGGGUGAGAAUCCCGUCUUUGACACGGACUGCCAGUGCUUUGUGAUGCGCUCUCAAAGAGUCGAGUUGUUUGGGAAUGCAGCUCAAAAUGGGUGGUAAAUUCCAUCUAAAGCUAAAUAUUGGCGAGAGACCGAUAGCGAACAAGUACCGUGAGGGAAAGAUGAAAAGAACUUUGGAAAGAGAGUUAAACAGUACGUGAAAUUGCUGAAAGGGAAACGCUUGAAGUCAGUCGCGUUGGCCUGGAAUCAACCUUGCUUUUGCUGGGCGUACUUCCUGGUCAAUGGGUCAGCAUCAAUUUUGACCGCUGGAAAAAGCUCAGGGAAAUGUGGCAUCUUCGGAUGUGUUAUAGUCCUUGUUCGCAUACAACGGUUGGGAUUGAGGAACUCAGCACGCCGCAAGGCCGGGUCUUUGACCACGUACGUGCUUAGGAUGCUGGCAUAAUGGCUUUAAUCGACCCGUCUUGAAACACGGACCAAGGAGUCUAACAUGCCUGCGAGUGUUUGGGUGGAAAACCCGAGCGCGUAAUGAAAGUGAAAGUUGAGAUCCCUGUCGUGGGGAGCAUCGACGCCCGGACCUGACCUUUUGUGACGGCUCCGCGGUAGAGCAUGUAUGUUGGGACCCGAAAGAUGGUGAACUAUGCCUGAAUAGGGUGAAGCCAGAGGAAACUCUGGUGGAGGCUCGUAGCGAUUCUGACGUGCAAAUCGAUCGUCAAAUUUGGGUAUAGGGGGCGAAAGACUAAUCGAACCAUCUAGUAGCUGGUUCCUGCCGAGUUUUCCCUUCCGGAAAAAA
rnacentral:rRNA from 1 species